GAGGAAUAUUGCGCAAUGGAGGCAACUCUGACGCAGCCAUGCCGCGUGCAGGAAGAAGGCCCUACGGGUUGUAAACUGCUUUUAACCGGGAAGAAACCCCUCUACGUGUAGAGGGUUGACGGUACCGGAGGAAUAAGCACCGGCUAACUUCGUGCCAGCAGCCGCGGUAAUACGAAGGGUGCAAGCGUUAUCCGGAUUCAUUGGGUUUAAAGGGUGCGUAGGCGGGCCUAUAAGUCAGUGGUGAAAUCCUGCAGCUCAACUGUAGAAUUGCCAUUGAUACUGUAGGUCUUGAGUACGCUCGACGUAGGCGGAAUGUGCCGUGUAGCGGUGAAAUGCUUAGAUAUGGCACAGAACACCGAUAGUGAAGACAGCUUACGAGGGCGAAACUGACGCUGAGGCACGAAAGCGUGGGGAUCGAAC
rnacentral:rRNA from 1 species